rnacentral:pre_miRNA from 1 species
UUAACUCAAAUUUGUAUGCAAUUGGAACAGCGCCCCUAGCGGCAAACGUUCCAACUCCAUACAAAUUUGAGUUA